GACGAACGCUGGCGGCGUGCUUAACACAUGCAAGUCGAACGGAAAGGCCCUGCUUUUGUGGGGUGCUCGAGUGGCGAACGGGUGAGUAACACGUGAGUAACCUGCCCUUGACUUUGGGAUAACUUCAGGAAACUGGGGCUAAUACCGGAUAGGAGCUCCUGCUGCAUGGUGGGGAUUGGAAAGUUUCGGCGGUUGGGGAUGGACUCGCGGCUUAUCAGCUUGUUGGUGGGGUAGUGGCUUACCAAGGCUUUGACGGGUAGCCGGCCUGAGAGGGUGACCGGCCACAUUGGGAUUGAGAUACGGCCCAGACUCCUACGGGAGGCAGCAGUGGGGAAUAUUGCACAAUGGGCGGAAGCCUGAUGCAGCAACGCCGCGUGCGGGAUGAAGGCCUUCGGGUUGUAAACCGCUUUCGCCUGUGACGAAGCGUGAGUGACGGUAAUGGGUAAAGAAGCACCGGCUAACUACGUG
rnacentral:rRNA from 1 species